GAGAAGUCGUAACAAGGUUUCCGUAGGUGAACCUGCGG
rnacentral:rRNA from 1 species